rnacentral:misc_RNA from 1 species
GGUGAACCCGCCGCCGGUGAGAUCCUCCUCCAUAUAACCUCAAUUCUUGUCAUACCAAUUGAGAGCCCAUCCCUUCCUCGUCCUGGUGCUGCCAUCCGUUCAUCUCCCAGCCACUUCCCCCGCUUUCUACAUACGGUCGAAGAUCCGUGCUUCCUCACCAUUCUAACUUUCACUGCCAGACAUCCAGUUUCACAACAGUGGCGGCGGCAUAGCGAUGGCACAAUCA